GUAAUCCUCUUUUCUUUCAAAAUCCUUCAGCAUUUUGCCUGUUCCCUUGAGGCACUCUCUUAUCUCGCUUACUGAAAGAGUGCAGAGGAGCCUGGCCAGAGCAGUGGGGAGUGGUCGGGUUCUGCAUGCACAUCCAAGGCAGAGAGCAGCAGGAUUUGGGGAUGGACUGGAGGUGGGGUGGGAGGGGCAGAGAGAACUGGAAGUUGGCUCAGGAUGUUUAGGCUGAGUACCCAGAAGCUGGGAAGACGGGAAGACUUCAGGGAAAGGUACUACGGGCUGGGCAGGGCAGAAUUCCGGCUUAAGUUUGAAAGGGCGAGUGGUGAUGUGGGUGUGUACUUGGGUGUUGGAGCCUCCUGUUCAAGAGGGAAGGAUAGGCAGGAGUUACACAUUUGGGAGCAAUCAACAUAGAGAUACUCCUUAAAGUCGUGACUGUGGAUGGAGUCACCCACAGAGAGAGAGAGAAUGUAGAUAGAAAAGGUCUGAGGACCAAGCUCUAAGACUCUCCAGCAGUGAGAGGUCAGGGAGAUGGGGAAGAACCAGCAAAGACAUCUGAGAUGAGAUGGAAGGGCCCCAGGGGAUUGUGGGUCACAGGAACUAGAAAGUGGAGGAAUCAACUGGGAAGGUGAGGGCAGAGGCCUGACCUCUGGGUCACGGAGGCCACAGGCGCCCUGGACAAGAAGUAGUGCCGGCAAGAGCUGGGGUGGAAUUCAAGACCAGAAUCGAAGGCAGUGAGGAUAAACCCCGUUUCCAAGCUGUAUGGCUGAAACAGACCAACUCACGCAAGAGCCCUGGAGCUCAGGGCUAGGAGACAAGGACAGUGUAAGGCAGAGAGGAAAGAACCAGAACGUUAAGUCUAACACACCUGGCGGCUGCAGCUCUGCAGCUUGCAGGGGGUGGUCAGGUUUUGCGCACUAGUGCACCUCCACCAACGGCUCCCAGAAGUGCUCGGUGAAUGACAGCUCUCAAGUGAACCUGCUUCUAAGGAGGGUGGGACAUCUGGAGGUCCCCCUUUUCCCCUCUGAAUGAACACCUCCCUGGUUGCUGCACUUCUCAGCUUGGUUUCACAACAUGCUGCCCCAGGAGGUGUAAGCACCCUCCUGCAUGUGUUCCAGGCGGGAGAUCACCGGGCAGGGAUGUUUUAUGAGGAUCGGCACUCAAGAUGGGAAGUUGGGCUAAAUGAACUCUAAGAUCCCUUCAAACCUGGGGGGUUGAUUAUUCCACUUCUAAUUCUUGCUUUUUAACCUUCAAAAUAUUUUUAACUGUGAAAUUUUAAGCAUGUGGAAAAUGGCACAAACAAUACAAUAAAUAACAAACUCCACUGAACUGUCAGAUUUAACUUUUGCCAUGUUUGUUCUGGAUACAAAUGAGCCCUGUGCAGAUCUGUGAGUUUUUAAAAGUAAAUGUUAAUUGAGGUAUAAUUUACAUAUAAUAAAGUACACAGAUUUUGAAUGUA